rnacentral:lncRNA from 1 species
UUUUUAAAAAGAGGUGUUAAAAAAAAUUUAAAAAGAGAAAUUAGGUUCUAUAUACAUUAAAAACCAUAAUUAGGAAACUACACUAAGCACUAUUCAACUUUCCAAAACUCAAAUACUACUCCUAGUUUCAUAGUUCUCUCUUUUCUCCUAUCCUAGCCAUUUCUCAUCUUCUCUUCUAUUCCUCUUUCAUCUCCUCUCUCUUACGGAUCAUAUUUCAUGUUCUUGAUAAUUAUAGUUUUGAUUUACAAUUAAAUUUGAUUUCCCAACCGAAGCAAGAUCCGAUUUUACUCUUAUUCAUUGACACCAUAAAUGCUAAUCUCAUCAUCUCCUAC